rnacentral:rRNA from 1 species
UACGUAGGGCGCAAGCGUUAUCCGGAAUUAUUGGCGUAAGAGCUCGUAGGCGGUUGUCGCGUCUGCCGUGAAGUCCGCUCAACUCCGGAUCUGCGGUGUACGCAGACUAGAGUGAUGUAGGAGACUGGAAUUCCUGGUGUAGCGGUGAAUGCGCAGAUAUCAGAGAACACGAUGGCGAAGCAGUCUCUGCAUUAACUGACGCUGAGAGCGAGCAUGGAGC